UCCAGUAAGUGCAGAAAUCAGUAGUGACAAGAAAUACCAGAGAUACUCCCAGCACUGCCAGCUAAAAUCCUCAGUUUAAAGUCCCCCAAUUUUGGGAACUUGUCUUCCUUCUCUGAAGUUUUGAAUCUGGCUUCCUAUAAUUAGUCUGUCUGGCCGUGUCCCCUGGAGGCGAACACAGAACUCCCACACAUGUGUAGCAGUGUCCCUUGCGGGCCCUGCCAAGGGUGCAGUGGAACAUCAGGACACUCAGGAAGAACAUGUGCUGCUGUGGAAAUCUGCAGUUACUGGACAUGCUGGAACAGCACGUAGACACCAGCCCAGGUCCAGCUCGGGACAGCCAGACUUGGAGAUCACUUGUCAGUAGAACAUGAGCAAUGAGGCUGCUCAGCGUGCUGCUGUGGGUACAGAAGCUCUGAAGAGAAUUUGCAGAGC